rnacentral:rRNA from 1 species
GACGAACGCUGGCGGCGUGCCUAAUACAUGCAAGUAGAACGCUGAAGGAGGAGCUUGCUUCUCUGGAUGAGUUGCGAACGGGUGAGUAACGCGUAGGUAACCUGCCUGGUAGCGGGGGAUAACUAUUGGAAACGAUAGCUAAUACCGCAUAACAGUAGAUAUCGCAUGAUAGCUGCUUGAAAGGUGCAAUUGCACCACUACCAGAUGGACCUGCGUUGUAUUAGCUAGUUGGUGAGGUAACGGCUCACCAAGGCGACGAUACAUAGCCGACCUGAGAGGGUGAUCGGCCACACUGGGACUGAGACACGGCCCAGACUCCUACGGGAGGCAGCAGUAGGGAAUCUUCGGCAAUGGACGGAAGUCUGACCGAGCAACGCCGCGUGAGUGAAGAAGGUUUUCGGAUCGUAAAGCUCUGUUGUAAGAGAAGAACGAGUGUGAGAGUGGAAAGUUCACACUGUGACGGUAUCUACCA